rnacentral:rRNA from 1 species
UACGUAUGGUGCGCGCGUUGUCCGGAAUUAUUGGGCGUAAAGAGCUCGUAGGCGGUGUGUCACGUCGGCCGUGAAAACCUGCAGCUUAACUGUGGGCGUGCGGUCGAUACGGGCAUCACUGGAGUUCGGCAGGGGAGACUGGGAUUCCUGGUGUAGCGGUGAAAUGCGCAGAUAUCAGGAGGAACACCGGUGGCGAAGGCGGGUCUCUGGGCCGAUACUGACGCUGAGGAGCGAAAGCGUGGGGAGCGAACAGG